UACAGAGGUCUCAAGCGUUGUUCGGAUUCAUUGGGCGUAAAGGGCGCGUAGGCGGCGGGGUAAGUCGGGUGUGAAAUCUCAGAGCUCAACUCUGAAAUGGCACUUGAUACUGCUCUGCUAGAGGACUGGAGAGGAGAUUGGAAUUCACGGUGUAGCAGUGAAAAUGCGUAGAUAUCGUGAGGAAGACCGGGUGGCGAAGGCGGAUCUCUGGACAGUUCCUGACGCUGAGGCGCGAAGGCCCGGGGGAGCAAACGGG
rnacentral:rRNA from 1 species